rnacentral:rRNA from 1 species
GAUGAACGCUAGCGGCAGGCUUAAUACAUGCAAGUCGAGGGGCAACGAGGGGUAGCAAUACCUGCUGGCGACCGGCAAACGGGUGCGGAACACGUACAGAACCUUCCUUUAAGCGGGGGAUAGCCCGAAGAAAUUCGGAUUAAUACCCCAUAGUAAUACUUAGUGGCAUCAUUAGAUAUUUAAAGAUUUAUCACUUAGAGAU